rnacentral:rRNA from 1 species
AAAGAGUUAAAUAAUUAAAAAAGUUAUUGUGGCAAAACUAUUUUACAUAAUUAUUUUGAAAUGAAAUGUUAUUCGUUUUUUUAGAUAUCUAGUUUUUUUAGAAAAAAAUUUAAUUUUAAAUUUAUUUUAUUUUAAUGAAAUUAAAUAAUUAAUUUUAUUAAAUAUUAAAUUUUAUAUUUUAAGGGAUAAGCUUUAAAAUUAAAUUUUUAUAAUAAAAAUUUUUAUUUUGAAAAUUUUAUAAUUUAUAUUGUUAAUAAAUUUUAUUUUAUUAUAAAUAAUUUCAAUAAGAAAAAAAUUUAAAUUAAUAUUUAAAUUUUUAUAAAAAAAAAUUUUUUAAUUUUUGAAAAUUAGUUAUAAUGAUAAAAUUAGUAUAUAAUUAUAUAAUUUAAUUUUAAAUUAUUAUUUUUAAUUAAAUUGAUUAAAAGGAAUUCGGCAAAUAUUUAUAUUCACUUGUUUAACAAAAACAUGUCUUUUUGUUUUUAAUUUAAAGUCUAAUCUGCCCACUGAUUAAUUAAAAUUGAAGGGCUGCAGUAAUUUGACUGUACAAAGGUAGCAUAAUCAUUAGUCUCUUAAUUGGUGACUUGUAUGAAAGAUUGAAUGAAAUAUAAACUGUCUCUUAAUUAAUUUAUAGAAUUUAAUUUUUUAUUUAAAAAGUUAAAAUAACUUAAAAAGACGAGAAGACCCUAUAGAGUUUUAUAAAUAAAUAUUUAUUAAAUUAUUUAUAUAAUAUUAAGAUUUUUAAAUGUUUAUUUAUUUUGUUGGGGUGAUAGAAAAAUAAAUUUAACUUUUUUUUAUUUUAAACAAAAAUAAUUGAAUAUGUGAUCCAAUUUUAUUGAUUAUAAGAUUAAAUUACCUUAGGGAUAACAGCGUAAUUUUUUUUUUUAGUUCAAAUAAGAAAAAAAGUUUGCGACCUCGAUGUUGGAUUAAGAUAAAAUUUAAAUGCAAAAGUUUAAAAUUUUUG